rnacentral:misc_RNA from 1 species
UAGGGACUCAUGGAUCCUGAGGUGU